CAGCUGGACUUGGUGGUUCUAAAAGUAUAAAUAUUGUUCAAGCAUCUUUUCUUUGCAGAGGGUGCAUAAAAGAAAAGCUGUUUCAUCCUUGUUGCUGGAGAUAUUUUUCUUUGUAGCUAACAUCGAGCAGGAAAUUCUUUAUGUUUAUCUCGGAGCUUCAGAACUUGAAGUCAUAAUGGUUCCAGCCUAUUCUUUUGGCCCACUCCAUUCUGGGCCUUCGUUGAGAACAAGACACAUAUAGCGUGGGCAGGAGAGUCUUGUGAGGCCACUGGAAAGUGAUCUGAAUUACAAGUCUGUGGUUACAUCCUGCCAUAGCCGGAGAGAACAGGAAGCAAAGUCUGGACAACCAGCAGAGCCAAAGAUGCAACAAACUAGAAGGGAAACAGAGCUGGACUUGCAAAAUAAAUGGGGGCAGAGACCUGGUGGUAAAGCAUAAAAGAAGGUUCGAGAAGAGUAAACUUUGAUCUGUUUGAUAGACAUUGAAAGAAUUUCAUCUCUGUUCUCUGCCUGGUUGCCUUUGCACAGCUGCGCUGCUGGCUCUCUUCAGAUGUGUACUGACCUUGGCAUGACCUGUGGGGGUCACUGCCUCACAUUUUAUGCUUAGCCAACCAUCGCUGUCCUCAUUGCUGUUGUUGGAUUAGGUCCCUUGCAACUCAGUCAAGCUGAGUAAGCACACAUGUGUAAAAGAUGUUUGUAAGAGUGCUACUUGUUGGCUACUUUGAGAGAAAAACCAGAUUCCUGGGUCAGGUCUGGACUACUGAAUCUGAACUUCUGAGAUGAAGUCCUGAAUCUGCAUUUUAACUGCUGCACCCUCAGGUAAAUCAGAAUGUCUCAAGAGGAUCCUUGGGACACAGAAAACAUGUUGUGCCUGAUGAAUGCAACCUGUGUGUGAGCCUGCUUCAGAAACUGUCAUUGGACAACACCAUAGCUCUCUGCUUCCUGGAGAGGUUCCUGCAGGAGUUUUAAAGUUGUUACAUGAUGUGCAACUUUAUUAAUUUUAGUUGCAACUGUGAGCGCAUACACAAUGCGCUAUUUAAAACACUAUUUUAAACACUAUAGUGAGUGGGGUUGUAUUCAUUUGGGCCCU